GAUGAACGCUAGCUACAGGCUUAACACAUGCCAGUCGAGGGGAAACGACAUCGAAAGCUUGCUUUUGAUGGGCGUCGACCGGCGCACGGGUGAGUAACGCGUAUCCAACCUGCCCAUCACUUGGGAAUAACCUUGCGAAAGUAAGACUAAUACCCAAUGAUAUCCCACGAAGGCAUCGGAAUGGGAUUAAAGAUUUAUCGGUGAUGGAUGGGGAUGCGUCUGAUUAGCUUGUUGGCGGGGUAACGGCCCACCAAGGCAACGAUCAGUAGGGGUUCUGAGAGGAAGGUCCCCCACAUUGGAACUGAGACACGGUCCAAACUCCUACGGGAGGCAGCAGUGAGGAAUAUUGGUCAAUGGGCGAGAGCCUGAACCAGCCAAGUAGCGUGCAGGAAGACGGCCCUAUGGGUUGUAAACUGCUUUUAGAAGGGAAUAAAGUGGGUCACGUGUGACUUUUUGCAUGUACCUUAUGAAUAAGGACCGGCUAAUUCCGUG
rnacentral:rRNA from 1 species